GACGAACGCUGGCGGCGUGCUUAACACAUGCAAGUCGAACGGAAAGGCCCUGCUUUUGUGGGGUGCUCGAGUGGCGAACGGGUGAGUAACACGUGAGUAACCUGCCCUUGACUUUGGGAUAACUUCAGGAAACUGGGGCGAAUACCGGAUAGGAGCUCCUGCUGCAUGGUGGGGGUUGGAAAGUUUCGGCGGUUGGGGAUGGACUCGCGGCUUAUCAGCUUGUUGGUGGGGUAGUGGCUUACCAAGGCUUUGACGGGUAGCCGGCCUGAGAGGGUGACCGGCCACAUUGGGACUGAGAUACGGCCCAGACUCAUACGGGAGGCAGCAGUGGGGAAUAUUGCACAAUGGGCGGAAGCCUGAUGCAGCAACGCCGCGUGCGGGAUGACGGCCUUCGGGUUGUAAACCGCUUUCGCCUGUGACGAAGCGUGAGUGACGGUAAUGGGUAAAGAAGCACCGGCUAACUACGUG
rnacentral:rRNA from 1 species